AUUGAACGCUGGCGGCAUGCUUUACACAUGCAAGUCGAACGGCAGCGGGGGCUUCGGCCCGCCGGCGAGUGGCGAACGGGUGAGUAAUGCAUCGGAACGUGCCCAGUCGUGGGGGAUAACACAUCGAAAGAUGUGCUAAUACCGCAUACGUCCUGAGGGAGAAAGCGGGGGAUCUUCGGACCUCGCGCGAUUGGAGCGGCCGAUGUCGGAUUAGCUAGUUGGUGGGGUAAAAGCCCACCAAGGCGACGAUCCGUAGCGGGUCUGAGAGGAUGAUCCGCCACACUGGGACUGAGACACGGCCCAGACUCCUACGGGAGGCAGCAGUAGGGAAUUUUCGGCAAUGGGGGAAACCCUGACCGAGCAAUGCCGCGUGAACGAUGAAGGUCUUCGGAUUGUAAAGUUCUGUGAUUGGGGAAGAAUGGUAUUCUUAGGGAAUGAGGAGUACAUGACGGUACCCGAUUAGAAAGCCCCGGCUAACUAUGUGCCAGCAGCCGCGGU
rnacentral:rRNA from 1 species